UACGGAGGGUGCGAGCGUUGUCCGGAAUCACUGGGCGUAAAGGGCGCGUAGGCGGCGCGGGAAGUCAACGGUGAAAGCUUGGGGCUCAACUCCGAGUCGGCCGUCGAUACUCCCGUGCUCGAGCACUGUAGAGGCAGAUGGAAUUCCGGGUGUAGCGGUGGAAUGCGUAGAUAUUCGCAAGAACACCAGUGGCGAAGGCGGCUCACUGGCCCGGUACUGACGCUGAGGCACGAAGGUCAGGGGAGCAAACGGG
rnacentral:rRNA from 1 species